UUACAUUUAUGGAAAGUCCUGGGUGAUACUGAUAAGAAGCAUCUCUUUAGCUGGUUGGGCUGCUCUCUUAUUUCCAGUGACUGCUUGUCUCCAUGUUAUGAGUUUUGAGUUGAUAGCCAUAGCCUCUGGAACAAGGCUGGACUCUGGAUCCAUUUUCUUUUCUAAGCCUUUUCCUUCCAAAACCAAGGGUGAUUUCAACUUUCAUUUGGAUGAGGCACUUCACUUCUCAGGUUCACGGUCAUUUGAUCCCCUCUGCUCUGACCGCUGUCCCCCCUCUCUGCUGUAACUUCAUUUGCAGCCACCCCUUGGCCUCUCCGCUCCACCUCUGACUUCCCGUAUUCUGCCGUGACCUUUCCUGUGCGAACCACCAGGUUCCCUCUUUCCAUUGUCACCGCCAUGUCUUCAUGCCUGCUCUGCUCACUGUCAGCGUGCCCAAGCCUAAUCUCCUUCCCUUGUCUCUAUUGAAUCAGACUCUCAGUCCCUUCUUAUUUCAAUGUAUUUCCUAACUUGUUUGGAUUUCAUGGUUUAUUGUUUCCACCACACUAUCAUCAACACACACAUUUCCACCAACCCUUUGAUCUACUGCUGUAUAAGCCUUGCAAAUAGUCUAUUCUACAACAGCCUAAUGACUCAUUCUUACCGACUCUGAUUUCUAAGCUGUGAAGCACUGCUGAAGGAAGUCAUUUUGCUUUGCUCACUGGGAAAUGACAAAUUCUAUGGCCUUCAGAAACGGCUCCCAACAAACGUAACCAGAGAGGUCUCAGUACCAUCAGGUUCCCAGGAUUAUCUGCUGCGUUGCUCAGCCAUCCUUAGCUGAUGCUCCAGAGCCCAGGACAGCUACUUAUGCUCCAAUUCAUUGCUGUGGCAGCAGGAAAAAGAAAACUACAAGGAAAGGGAUAUCUCUUCUCUUGAAGGACAGGUCUGAUCCAUGGUGCUAAGGAUCUGAAGUGUGAACUCACAGUGAAGGACCCUGAGAGGGCAGAGCCAUGUGAUGGAAUGAGCCAUGAUCCCUGAGUCCUCACCUCAGGGAGAGAUGUGCAGAAGAGCCACCCAAGUGGUGAUGUGCUGGUAAACAUUUAGUGACCCAUUUGAGGUGUGGGGGGAGGCUCUAACUGGUAACAUUUGUUAAUUUCUGUAAUGCAUACUCCUACUAAGGCUGCUUUUAGGCAACCAACGUGAUGUCACUGAACACAGUUUGGAAUGGAUGCACAUAAUCAGUUCUCAUGAUCCAGGAUGAACCAGCCCUAGCAUACCACUGCCCCUAACCCACAUAUAACUGUGUCAUCAUUUAAAA
rnacentral:lncRNA from 1 species